AUUGAACGCUGGCGGCAUGCCUUACACAUGCAAGUCGAACGGCAGCGGACCUUCGGGUGCCGGCGAGUGGCGAACGGGUGAGUAAUGCAUCGGAACGUACCUUUCAGUGGGGGAUAACGUAGCGAAAGUUACGCUAAUACCGUAUAUUCUGUGAGCAGGAAAGCAGGGGAUCGCAAGACCUUGCGCUGAUUGAGCGGCCGAUGUCAGAUUAGCUAGUUGGUGUGGUAAAGGCUCACCAAGGCGACGAUCUGUAGCGGGUCUGAGAGGAUGAUCCGCCACACUGGGACUGAGACACGGCCCAGACUCCUACGGGAGGCAGCAGUGGGGAAUUUUGGACAAUGGGGGCAACCCUGAUCCAGCCAUGCCGCGUGAGUGAAGAAGGCCUUCGGGUUGUAAAGCUCUUUCGGCCGGGAAGAAAUCGCACAGGCUAAUACCUUGUGUGGAUGACGGUACCGGAAUAAGAAGCACCGGCUAACUACGUGCCAGCCGCCGCGGUAA
rnacentral:rRNA from 1 species